AGCUCGAUAGCGCAACGGUAGCGCGUUUCUCCCACUUUGAUCACCGUCCCAGUUGUCUUCAAUGGGUGGAGAGAAGGAUCUCGGUUCGACUCCGAGCGAGCUA